GUGAGUUCAAGACCAUUAUGGGCUACAUAGUGAAUUCCAGUAUAGUACUCAUCACCUGUUUUCAGAUGGUGCUGUCAAACAACCAAUUGACCAAACAAGACACAAGGUGGUGCUUGGCUCCUUGGGACCUUGUGAGUUGCUGCGCAAAGUGGGUUUCUGAACUGUUUCACCCAGGUGACAACCUCACUGGUCAAAGGUGACUUCACGGGCUAUAACUUCCCUGUUUCUAGGUGAGGAUGAACACCAAGACUGAUGUAAGGCCCAAACUGAAGGAACAGCUAGGAGAGUGAGUCAGUACAGCUGACUGCUGUGUUCUAUGGGCUCUGCACCUCCAGAUCCAACCAGCUCCAGGUUAGAAACAUUUGGAAAAAGGAUUGCAUUCUUGUCAUUCCCUAGCAAUGCAGUGUAGCAAUCAUUUGAUAGCAUUCACAUUGUAUUAGGUAUUGCAGUAAUCUAGAGAUGAUUUAAGAUAUACGAGAGGAUAUGUGUAAGUUAUAUACAAAUAUUUGGCCGUUUUAGAAUAGGGACUUGAGUAUGUAUGGAUUUUGAUAUCUGAGGGCAUUCCUGGAACUAGUACCAAGGGACAAAUGCACAGGGAAAAUCGAAAUCUUUUUCCUUUUGUGUGUGUGUGUGUGUG